rnacentral:rRNA from 1 species
ACCCGCUGAACUUAAGCAUAUCAAUAAGCGGAGGAAAAGAAACCAACAGGGAUUGCCCCAGUAACGGCGAGUGAAGCGGCAACAGCUCAAAUUUGAAAUCUGGCCCCCCGGCCCGAGUUGUAAUUUGGAGAGGAUGCUUUUGGCACGGCGCCGUCCGAGUUCCUUGGAACAGGACGCCACAGAGGGUGAGAGCCCCGUACGGACGGACGCCUAGCCUCUACAAAGCUCCUUCGACGAGUCGAGUAGUUUGGGAAUGCUGCUCAAAAUGGGAGGUAAAUUUCUUCUAAAGCUAAAUACCGGCCAGAGACCGAUAGCGCACAAGUAGAGUGAUCGAAAGAUGAAAAGCACUUUGAAAAGAGGGUUAAAAAGUACGUGAAAUUGUUGAAAGGGAAGCGCCUGUGACCAGACUUGCGCCCCGUGGACCAUCCGGCGUUCUCGCCGGUGCACUCCGCGGGGCGCAGGCCAGCAUCGGUUCUCCUAGGGGGAUAAAGGCCGCGGGAACGUAGCUCCUUCGGGAGUGUUAUAGCCCGUGGUGGCAUGCCCCUGGGGGGACCGAGGACCGCGCUUCGGCAAGGAUGCUGGCGUAAUGGUCACCAGCGACCCGUCUUGAAACACGGACCAAGGAGUCAAGCAUUGGGGCGAGUGUAUGGGUGCCAAACCCGCACGCGAAAUGAAAGUAAACGCAGGUGAGAGCUUCGGCGCAUCAUCGACCGAUCCUGAUGUCUUCGGAUGGAUUUGAGUAAGAGCCUUACCGCUUGGACCCGAAAGAUGGUGAACUAUGCCUGAAUAGGGUGAAGCCAGAGGAAACUCUGGUGGAGGCUCGCAGCGGUUCUGACGUGCAAAUCGAUCGUCAAA